rnacentral:rRNA from 1 species
UUGAACGCUGGCGGCAUGCCUUACACGUGCAAGUCGAACGGCAGCACGGGAGCAAUCCUGGUGGCGAGUGGCGAACGGGUGAGUAAUACAUCGGAACGUACCUGAUAGUGGGGGAUAGCCCGGCGAAAGCCGGAUUAAUACCGCAUACGACCUGAGGGUGAAAGCGGGGGAUCGCAAGACCUCGCGCUAUUGGAGCGGCCGAUGGCAGAUUAGGUAGUUGGUGGGGUAAAGGCCUACCAAGCCUACGAUCUGUAGCUGGUUUGAGAGGACGACCAGCCACACUGGGACUGAGACACGGCCCAGACUCCUACGGGAGGCAGCAGUGGGGAAUUUUGGACAAUGGGCGCAAGCCUGAUCCAGCCAUGCCGCGUGCGGGAAGAAGGCCUUCGGGUUGUAAAGCUCUUUCAGACGGAAAGAAAUCGGGCGGGUGAAUAGCCUGCCUGGAUGACGGUACUGUCAGAAGAAGCACCGGCUAACUACGU